AUCGGUUUAGUAUAUUUUAUAUUACGUGAAACUGUAAAUUUUGAGAUAGAUUUGUUUUCUAGCCGAAU
rnacentral:tRNA from 1 species